rnacentral:rRNA from 1 species
GAUGAACGCUGGCGGCGUGCUUAAUACAUGCAAGUCGAGCGAGGACCACCCGGUGGCAACACCGGGUGACUCCUAGCGGCGAACGGGUGAGUAACACGUGGGCAACCUGCCCCCGACUCUGGGAUAAGCCCGGGAAACUGGGUCUAAUACCGGAUACGAGCCUCCACCGCAUGGCGGAGGUUGGAAAGGGUCUCCGGUCGGGGAUGGGCCCGCGGCCUAUCAGCUUGUUGGUGAGGUAAUGGCUCACCAAGGCGUCGACGGGUAGCCGGCCUGAGAGGGUGACCGGCCACACUGGGACUGAGACACGGCCCAGACUCCUACGGGAGGCAGCAGUGGGGAAUAUUGCACAAUGGGCGGAAGCCUGAUGCAGCAACGCCGCGUGGGGGAUGACGGCCUUCGGGUUGUAAACCUCUUUUAGCAGGGAAGAAGCGUGAGUGACGGUACCUGCAGAAAAAGCGCCGGCUAACUACGUGCCAGCAGCCGCCGUAAAAC